UUUAGAACGAAAGUCAGAAAUUUUCUGUAAAGGACCAAGUAGUAAACGUUUAAACUUUGGGCCAUACAGGUUCUGUUUUAGCUGUUCCACUUGGCCUUUGUAGCUCAAAAGCAGCCACAGACAACAGUAAACAAAUGCGUGUGGCUGUGCUCCAAUAAAACUUUAUUUACAAAAACAAGUGGUGGGCCAGAUUUGGCCCUUGGGCUGUAGUUUGUUCUCCCAACUUUGGAAAAAAGGGCAGACAUCAGGGUGGCGAGGGUUCUGGAGGUGGAGGCCAGUGUGGAUGGGUAAAAGAACCAGGUGGGGCUCAGUGGGGAGAGGUAGGCAUACCCCCUCAGUGGCCCCAGAUGGAGAGCCAUGUGGGGGAAAGUGAGAAGGGGGCUUAUUUUCAUCCAUGCCAGGGAAGACCCCCAUAAAACAACAAAGGAGUGAUUCUGCAUUAUCCGAGGCUAGGGAUGGGGGGACUGGGCCUGGUGAUCUUCCACACCUUGGCCUCUGCCUCCUGGAAUGGCCCUGUCUUCCCAUCCUUCCCUGUCCCAGCACUGGGCUGGGACAUUCUGCCUACAUAGUGAGACAUGAAUAAUACCCUGGAGGCACAGCCACAAUCCCUUCAAUGAUGAGGCUCGAGGAAUCAAGGAGGCAUUUGUAAGGCUGGCUUGAUGAGAGACUUCAGCAAGCCCUGAGGGGCUGGGGAGGCCUCUGGCUGCCGAUUAUCCUCCCUACCAUAUGGGUGAUGGAAAGCUGGCUCUUCGGGUGGGAGGCCUGGCCCAGAGCUGGGCUCUCAGAGCCUGGUUUGUGCCUUGGGGUUCCCCUCUGGUCCAAAUGGUAGUAGGCAGUAGGAUGAAUUAAUUCCUCUGGUCCUUUCCAGCAUAGGCAUCCUGGGACCACGGAGCAGCCACCAACGACUACAGAUGAAACACAAGCCUCUCCGGUCACUUUUUGCUGGCCGUUGGAAGGAGGCUGUUGAGUGGGAGUGGAACCUCCAGGUUUCCUGGGGCACUAUUCUGGAUCCCCUCAUCUCAGCUCUGUGAGGUCAUGGCUAAGCCUGAAACAGGUCCCAACUCAUUCAAUCUUGCCAUAAACCUAUGAAAUGGGUGUCAGCCAUGAGGCUUUGGUUGCAAAUAACAGAAACCCCAACUUAACUGUCAUAUGGAAGCAGAGAAGCAACUGACUCUUUGCCAGAGGCUUAUGUCAUGACUCCAAGUAGUGAGGGGGUGGCUGUUCAGGUCAAAGGAUUAGCAACAAUGACUGGCUUAAACAACGAAAAACUGCAUCUAUGAUCUUAGCAACAACAUUCAGUAACAUUAGGUAUCACCAGGGAGGAGGACGCCACCUCCCUGGUGAUAGCUGAUUGGACCAGAGGGAAGCCCCAGUCCCAGGGCAGCCAAUCAGCAGCCUGCAAGCAGCCAAUGAGAUGGCCUGGAGGGGGAGUUCUGCCCAAUCACAAUACCAAUAAAUAAGAGGUCCAGGCUGGAUCUCUGUCUUGGAGAUUUGAGCCGGAGAUUUGAGCGAGAGAUUUGGAAGAAAUGUGGGGCAAUCUGUAGAAGGAGCAGAAGACAAAAAUCACACUGAAGGCAGUGAGUGGAGGAGCUUGUGCUGCAGGAUACAGAAGCCAGGAGAGAGUGAGGCGCAGGCAGAGCCAGCCUGGCGAGGACUAAGCCAUGUUUAAAGCCAUGAAUGGAAGGUUCUCUGUCCCCAGAAGUGAAGCAGGACUUUCCCAGUCCCCAGUUUGUUCUGGUCUUUAGAAGCUGGCGAGUGGCCAGCCAUGAAGGCCAUGCCAAGUGACUGGCAUGGCUGAGUUGCUAUCCUUAUAUGUGGCCUCCCAUCUGCCCCUCGCCUUCACUGGAGAGGCAGCAAGGAGGGCAUUGAAGCCUGAAAUUCUGAAGAAUUUUCUUGCAGGAUUAUGGUGUGGCGUAAGCCAGGCUUCUUGGGCCAGGUUCUCUCUCUACAGGGCAUCUCUGGGGAAUGUGUGAGUGCUGGGAGUGGUACCUAGGUCUCUAGGCCCCCUGGACUUUCCAGUGCCAUCCCUAAACUGGGGAGUCUUUCCUGAGCCUGAAUGAGAGUGCUUUGGUCGGCUAAGGCCAGGGAAUCAGCCCCAAAGCAGUGUUUCGGGAGGAAUGGGCUGCCAGCCUCAUCCUCUGCCCUGGCCCAAACCAGGAUUGUCAGUAUGGGGUGUAGACAGAAGGAAGAGAGAGUGCGGAGGCCCAACGGGGUCUCCAGAGUAUGGGCCACCUGUGCCUCUUUUCUGCCUCCCACCCUCACCUGCAUUUCACUGGGGGCCCCUGAGUUUCUCAGACAACAGAGACCAUCCAAAUACCUUGUAACUGAGGGUGCAGUCAUUGGAGUCCCAUCAAACUCCCAAGUCCACCAUCUACUGUGAGUCAGGCAAGUCACCUAACCUCCCUGAGCCUCCAUUUUUUCAUCAGUGAAAUGGGAGUGAUCAUAGUGCCUCCUACACAGAGCAGGGGAAUUCAAUGAGUCCCCACUUGUGAAGCGCAUGAACCUGUGCCUGGCACACGGCACAUGUGGAUUAGACACCUCCUGUAAGCAGGGGCUCAGGGAAGGGAGCCAGGAAAGAGGGAUGUAGAGAAGACAGGGGGCAGAGAGAAACGUUAAAAGAAGAAGAAGGAGGGGAGAAGGGUGUGAAGAGGCCAGAGAGGAAAUGGGUCUCCCUGGGGUGUUGGCCUUGACCUCUCAGGCCUGGCUCAGGUCUGACUUUCUUGUUCUUUCUUCCCCCAUAUAAUCUCUCUCUGGAAUGCUGAGAAAUUCUGCUUCCACCCCCCAGCAGUUGCCAUGGUGAUGAAAACCUGGACCCAGUGGAAAGUUCUCUGUGCUCUUGGCAACAAGGCUGCAGCACCCUGCCUCCCCCCGCCUGCCUGUGCGUGGGCGGCCAGCUCCGGAUGCUGCCAGGAUUUGGGGCCAGCACGGCCUGUCUGCAAGACCCAGCCCUGCCCCCAUAGAAUCUAGGAUGGGAGCUUCGGCAUAUCUGGUGCUGGGGGCUCCCAGAGAAUAUCUAGCCAGUCCCAUUUUACGGAUGGGGCACUGGGCCAGAGAGGAUCGGUGGCUUGUCCAAAGCUGCACAGACCCCCUGGGGUCUCCCUCCUGGGCUCAGCUGUGAUCAGGUGGGCACGGAGCACCCGGAAACAUCGCAGACAGGGGACUAGCCACAUGGCAGACCAGUCCCAGAAAGCAGGCCAGCUGCUGGAGCCAGGGAGAUGCAGAAGACAAAGGGACUCCAGGAAGCUGGACACUGCCUUCCUCUUCUCUCCCAGACACAGUGGUGGGUGGGUGCGAAGGAGUGAAUGCUUGUGUCCCUCUACAAUUCACAUGCAGAAGCCCCAGGCACUAGUGUGAUGGUAUUUGGGGUGGGGCCUUUGGGGGUGAUUAGGGCAUGAGGGAGGAGCCCUCACAGUGGAAUUAGUGCUGUUGUGAGAAGAGACAGGAGAGAUGAUCCCUCUACCACGCGAGGGUGCCUGCAACCAGGGAGAAGGCCCUCCGCAGCCCGACCAUGCUGGUACUCUGAUCUUGCAGACUUUAGAGCUGCAAUAAAUCCAUACUUAUUGUCGAAGCUGCCUUGUGCACAGUAAUGAGUUACAGCGUCCUGAGCUGACUCAGACAGUCAAUUUGUGGGGGUGCUGAGUUUGCUCCACUCUCAGCAGCCCCAGCUCUCAGACUAAGUGGAAGGGCACAAGCCAGCCAUUUUUUUUUUUUUUUUUUUGAGACAGAAUCUCACUCUGUCGCCCAGGCUGGAGUGCAGUGGCAUGAUCUCAGCUCACUGCAGCCUCUGCCUCCUGGGUUCAAGUGAUUCUCCUGCCUCAGCCUCCUGAGUAGCUGGGACUACAGGCGCAGGCCACCACGCCCAGCUAAUUUUUUUUUUUUUUUUUUGAGACGGAGUCUUGCUCUGUCGCCCAGGCUGGAGUGCAGUGGCGCAAUCUCGGCUCACUGCAAGCUCCGCCUCCCAGGUUCACGCUAUUCUCCUGCCUCAGCCUCUCGAGUAGCUGGGACUACAGGCACCCGCCACUGCGCCCAGCUAAUUUUUUGUAUUUUUUAGUAGAGACGAGGUUUCACUGUGGUCUCAAUCUCCUGACCUCAUGAUCUGCCCGCCUCGGCCUCCCAAAGUGCUGGGAUUACAGGCGUGAGCCACCGCGCCCAGUCAAUUUUUGUAUUUUUAGUAGAGACGAGGUUUCAGCAUGUUGGCCAGGAUGGUAUUGAUCUCCUGACCUCGUGAUCCACCCACCUCAGCCUCCCAAAGUGCUGGGAUUACAGGUGUGAGCCACUGCUCCCAGCCAAGCCAGCCUUUAGCAACCUCCCUGCCAGGGUCCUGGGGGCCCCUAUUUGUUUCCCCUCCUCUUUUUCCUCCUCCUCAGCAGGCUGAACGUUGGUCCUGAAGUUUGCUUCCAGCAGAGGCCAACGGCCUCCCUUUAAGGCUGACACAGCAAGAAGACAGUUAUCUGUGAGCCAGGAAACAGGCCCUCACCAGACACCAGAGCUGCCAGCACCUUGAUUUUGGACUUUCCAGCCUCCAGAAUUUCUGUUGUUUAUAAACCACUUAGUUUAUGAUAGUUUACUAUAGUAGUCUGAAUGAACUAAGAUACCAUGUUUUCAAAACUUCUCUUUCUCUGUUUCUUCUUGAGUGAGGGACUCACUCUGUUGCCCAGGCUGGAGUGCAGUGGCACGAUCAUGGCUCACUAUAGCCUCGACCUCCUGGACUCAGGGAAUCUUCCAGUCUCAGCCUCCCGAGUAGCUGGGAUCACAGGCGCACACCACCACAACUGGCUACUUUUUCAUAUUUUUG
rnacentral:lncRNA from 1 species